CCCCAUGGAGCUUUACUGUAGCUUGAUAUUGAGUGUUUGUACUGCUUGUACAGGAUAGGUAGGAGCCGUAGAAGUCGGGACGCUAGUUUCGACAGAGGCGCUGGUGGGAUACUACCCUUGCAAUAUGACCACUCUAACCCGCAGCACUGAACGUGCUGGGAGACAGUGUCAGGUGGGCAGUUUGACUGGGGCGGUCGCCUCCUAAAAGGUAACGGAGGCGCCCAAAGGUUCGCU
rnacentral:rRNA from 1 species